rnacentral:rRNA from 1 species
AACGAACGCUGGCGGCAUGCCUAACACAUGCAAGUCGAACGAGACCUUCGGGUCUAGUGGCGCACGGGUGCGUAACGCGUGGGAACCUGCCCUUAGGUUCGGAAUAACUCCCCGAAAGGGGUGCUAAUACCGGAUAAUGUCUUCGGACCAAAGAUUUAUCGCCUUUGGAUGGGCCCGCGUUGGAUUAGCUAGUUGGUAGGGUAAAAGCCUACCAAGGCGAAGAUCCAUAGCUGGUCUGAGAGGAUGAUCAGCCACACUGGGACUGAGACACGGCCCAGACUCCUACGGGAGGCAGCAGUGGGGAAUAUUGGAAAAUGGGCGAAAGGCUGAUCCAGCAAUGCCGCGUGAGUGAUGAAGGCCUUAAGGUUGUAAAGCUCUUUUACCCGGGAUGAUAAUGACAGUACCGGGAGAAUAAGCUCCGGCUAACUCCGUG